AUUUUUCCCUUCACACCCUGUACACGCCCAGCAGCCAGGGGAUAAGAGUGGCAGUGCAGCAGGGACUGAGCAUUGUGCAGAGCAGAGCCCUUACGCCAGCCGGCUUCAGCUCUGCUCCUCGUGCCCAUGUCCCACAGUACCAUGAAGGGUUCUGCAGCUGCUCUUCUCCUCCUGGCCCUCUGCUCUUUGGCUGUGGACUCUUCUCCUAUUGGCAGUAGUGAUGACAUUCCCUUAAGCUGCUGCUACAGUUAUGUGUCGCGUCCGAUCCCUUACAGCCUCAUCACCUCUGUCUAUGCCACCAGCAGCACCUGCUCCAAGCCAGCAGUGAUUGUGGUCACCAAGAAGAAGAGGGAGAUAUGCGCAGACCCAAAGCAGUUAUGGGUGCAGGCACUCCUGGAGCUAUCCAGAAGAGAAAAGCUGCUCUCCCGCCGCUGUGAAGGAAGUGAAAACACAGAGAUGAUGCACAAAAAAUCAAAUGCUUGUUAAGGAAUCAGGAGCUCUGAUGCCUAAAUAAAUCCCUUUGCACUAGAAAAUUAGGGAUGAUAUGGUUUAUUUGCGAAACCAUCGUCAGUCCACAUACUUGCAUGACCUGAGAGUUGAUGUAUCACCAACUCCCUGUUGGAGCUCAUUGCCACCCAGCACAGCCCCGUGGGGAGACGUGGGCAUCCCAAAGCCACCCCUCAGGGCCCCCAGCCUCUGCCACAUGCAGGUGUCACCCUGCUCACAUGCUUGGGGUGAUAAUGCCCUUGUCCCCACUGCAGGGUGCAGGCUGUGCCAGCGGACAGAGCACGACCCCGACAUCUAUGGAGAGACGUGCCGUCAGGACAGCCUGUGCAUCCAUGAGAACUGCCUGUACCACGCCAGCGGGCUGUACCAGCGCGGCGCUGACGAUGAAGGAUUCUUUGGAUUCCUCUUCCCCGACAUCGAGCAGGAGCUGCAGCGCGUGGCACAGAAGGUGAAUAGGGCGCCGUGUCCCCACCUUGGUCCCCGUGCCACGUGGCUGGGGGACUCCAGCACAGCCCUCACUGUCCAAAAAGACCCAUUGCUGCACAAAUCAGAACUGAUCAGUGCUGCAGGGUCCCUAGCCACGUGGCCCACCAGAUGAUCACCGUGCUCUGCUGGGCAAGGCUCACCUGUGUGUGCACAGCACUGACGCCCAGCACCGCACUGCUGUCCCCAGAAAUGCUGCGUCUGCCGGAAGCGGGGCGCCUCGGUGCGCUGCCAUCGCCGCAGGUGCUCCCGCACCUUCCACUACCCCUGCGGGAGAGAACGCGGCUGUGUCUCCCAGUUCUUCGGGGAGUACAGGUGAGUGUGGGCACCCGCAGGGCCGCAGGAGGAAUGGGGCAGGGCGCUGAGCUGCCACCUGCAUCCAUCCUGCAGGUCCUUCUGCUGGCAGCACCGGCCAACGCAGCAGGUGACGCCGCUGCAACGGGAACACCCCCAGUGCGCCAUCUGCAUGGAGGCGGUGGAGGGACGCCCCAGCUACACCACCCUCAUCUGUCCCUCCUGCACCAGCGCGCAGUUCCACCGCCACUGCAUCCAGGUAGGCGGCAUUGCCUCCAGACCACAACAGCAUCAUCACCC
ensembl:lncRNA